AAAAAAUAGUAGGCAGCAACAAAAAUUCACUCACACAGCUGGGUCGAAAAGUUUUGCGUGUGUAGCUCAUGCAGAGGAACUGUCGUCCGGUCAAAAAGUUGGACGCCUUCAACUUUUUGACAUUACACAUAGGAAGAAAGAUGGAAACCCUAUGACUCCUGAAGCUGCAGAAAUUAUGGAAAAAUUAAAGGAUAAAAAGGCGGAGUACGAAGCGAUUGCUUCCAGUGAUAGUUCUGUUCAUAUUGACAACAUUGAUAACCGGAUUAUCACUGAAGUUUUGGGUCCUGAAAGGUAUGGUCGGGUUCGAUUUCAAGGAUCUUUU